rnacentral:rRNA from 1 species
UACGUAGGGGGCAAGCGUUGUCCGGAUUUAUUGGGCGUAAAGAGCGUGUAGGCGGCCUGACAAGUCUGCUGUGAAAACUCGAGGCUCAACCUCGAGAUGUCGGCGGAAACUGUCUGGCUAGAGUCCGGAAGAGGAGAGUGGAAUUCCUGGUGUAGCGGUGGAAUGCGCAGAUAUCAGGAGGAACACCAAUAGCGAAGGCAGCUCGCUGGGACGUUACUGACGCUGAGACGCGAAAGCGUGGGGAGCAAACAGG